GGGGAAUAUUGCACAAUGGGCGCAAGCCUGAUGCAGCAACGCCGCGCGAGGGAUGACGGCCUUCGGGUUGUAAACCUCUUUUAGUAGGGAAGAAGCGCAAGUGACGGUACCUGCAGAAAAAGCACCGGCUAACUACGUGCCAGCAGCCGCGGUAAUACGUAGGGUGCGAGCGUUGUCCGGAAUUAUUGGGCGUAAAGAGCUUGUAGGCGGUUUGUCGCGUCUGCCGUGAAAAUCCGGGGCUCAACUCCGGACUUGCGGUGGGUACGGGCAGACUAGAGUGUGGUAGGGGAGACUGGAAUUCCUGGUGUAGCGGUGAAAUGCGCAGAUAUCAGGAGGAACACCGAUGGCGAAGGCAGGUCUCUGGGCCACUACUGACGCUGAGAAGCGAAAGCGUAGGGAGCGAAC
rnacentral:rRNA from 1 species